GUGUCAGCCGCCGCGGUAAUACGUAGGCAGCGAGCGUUGUUCGGAGUUACUGGGCGUAAAGGGUGUGUAGGCGGUCCUCCGUGUCUGGUGUGAAAUCUCCCGGCUUAACUGGGAGGGUGCGCCGGAAACUGGAAGGCUUGGAGUGCGGGAUGGGAGAGUGGAAUUCCUGGUGUAGCGGUGAAAUGCGUAGAUAUCAGGAGGAACACCGGUGGUGUAGACGGCUCUCUGGACCGUAACUGACGCUGAGACACGAAAGCGUGGGUAGCAAACAGGAUUAGAUACCCCGGUAGUCC
rnacentral:rRNA from 1 species